rnacentral:rRNA from 1 species
UACGGAGGGCGCAAGCGUUGUUCGGAAUCACUGGGCGUAAAGCGCGUGUAGGCGGCUUGGCAAGUCGGAUGUGAAAUCCCGAGGCUCAACCUCGGAACUGCACUCGAAACUGCCUGGCUCGAGUCCCGGAGAGGGUGGCGGAAUUCCCGGUGUAGGGGUGAAAUCCGUAGAUAUCGGGAGGAACACCAGUGGCGAAGGCGGCCACCUGGACGGUGACUGACGCUGAGACGCGAAGGCGUGGGGAGCAAACAGG